rnacentral:tRNA from 1 species
GCCGACUUAGCUCAGCUGGUAGAGCACCCGCCUUGUAAGCGGACGGUCGUCAGUUCGAAUCUGACAGUCGGCU